AGUCGCAUAGACAGCCAGGAGGUUGGCUCAGAAGCAGCCACCCUUGAAAGAGUGCGUAACAGCUCACUGGUCUAGUGGUUCCGCGCCGACAAUGUAGCGGGGCUCAAGCACACCACCGAAGACGCGGCAGUAGCUUUGCUACUGGGUAGGAGAGCGUCCCAUGCGGGGCGAAGCGGCGGCGCAAGCCCGCCGUGGACUGCAUGGGAGUGAGAAUGCAGACAUGAGUAGCGAAAGACGGGUGAAGAUCCCGUCCGCUGGACGACCAAGGGUUCCAGGGCCACGUUCAUCGUCCCUGGGUGAGUCGGGUCCUAAGGCGAGGCCGACAGGCGUAGUCGAAUGGAUGAACGGGUCGAUAUUCCCGUACCGGCAUGCAACCGACAAAACCGAAUCCGCGAGUACUAACCUCCGGGUCCGGGCUUACGUCUCCUUCGGGAGCCGGAUGCCCUGGCCUGUUGGGACCGUAACGGUAGUAGGUCAGCGCGGGAGUGACGCAGAAGGGUAGCCGGCCGCGGAGGUGGUCUUCCGUGGUCAAGCACGCAGCCCGUCCCACAGGCAAAUCCGUGGGGCGCGUGGGCGAGGUGCGAUGAUGGGCGCCGCAGGGCGCGAUAUCCGGUGAUCCCGGCUGCCGAGAAAAGCUUCGGCGUGAGGCGGCGUGCCGCCCGUACCCCAAACCGACACUGGUGGUCAGGUAGAGAAUACCAAAGCGAUCGAGCGAAUCCUGGUCAAGGAACUCGGCAAAUCACUCCCGUUCCUUCGGUUUAAGGGAGACCCCCGAUGGUGAAGCGGCUUGCCCGUGGAGCUUUUGGGGGUGGCACAGACCAGGGGGUAGCGACUGUUUACCAAAAACACAGGAGCGUGCGAAGGCGCAAGCCGCUGUAUACGCUCUGACGCCUGCCCGGUGCCGGAAGGUUAAGAGGAUCCGUCAGGCUUCGGCCGAAGCGGUGAAUUCAAGCCCCGGUAAACGGCGGUGGUAACUAUAACCAUCCUAAGGUAGCGAAAUUCCUUGUCGGGUAAGUUCCGACCUGCACGAAUGGCGUAACGACUUCCCCACUGUCUCGACCAGGAGCUCGGCGAAAUUGCAGUACGAGUAAAGAUGCUCGUUAAGCGCAGAAGGACGAAAAGACCCCGGGACCUUUACUAUACCUUGGUAUUGGCAUUCGGUGUGGAUUGUGUAGCAUAGGCGGAAGGCUUCGAAGCCACGGCGCCAGCCGCGGUGGAGCCGCAAGGUGAAAUACCGCUCUGUUCGCAUUGGAUGUCUAACCUCGACCAGUCAUCCUGGUCAGGGACAGUGCCUGGCGGGUAGUUUAACUGGGGCGGUUGCCUCCCAAAGAGUAACGGAGGCGCUCAAAGGUUCCCUCAGCCCGGUUGGCAAUCGGGUGGCGAGUGUAAGUGCACAAGGGAGCUUGACUGCGAGACUGACGGGUCGAGCAGGGACGAAAGUCGGAACUAGUGAUCCGGUGCCGGUGUACGGACGCGGCAUCGCUCAACGGAUAAAAGGUACCCCGGGGAUAACAGGCUGAUCAUUCCCAAGAGUCCAUAUCGACGGGAUGGUUUGGCACCUCGAUGUCGGCUCGUCGCAUCCUGGGGCUGGAGCAGGUCCCAAGGGUUCGGCUGUUCGCCGAUUAAAGCGGCACGCGAGCUGGGUUC
rnacentral:rRNA from 1 species